rnacentral:rRNA from 1 species
AUUGAACGCUGGCGGCAUGCCUUACUCAUGCAAGUCGAACGGUAACAGGUCUUCGGAUGCUGACGAGUGGCGAACGGGUGAGUAAUACAUCGGAACGUGCCCGAUCGUGGGGGAUAACUACUCGAAAGAGUAGCUAAUACCGCAUACGAUCUACGGAUGAAAGCGGGGGAUCUUCGGACCUCGUGCGGACGGAGCGGCCGAUGGCAGAUUAGGUAGUUGGUGGGAUAAAAGCUUACCAAGCCGACGAUCUGUAGCUGGUCUGAGAGGACGACCAGCCACACUGGGACUGAGACACGGCCCAGACUCCUACGGGAGGCAGCAGUGGGGAAUUUUGGACAAUGGGCGAAAGCCUGAUCCAGCAAUGCCGCGUGCAGGAUGAAGGCCUUCGGGUUGUAAACUGCUUUUGUACGGAACGAAAAGACUCCUUCUAAUACAGGGGGUCCAUGACGGUACCGUAAGAAUAAGCACCGGCUAACUACGUGCCAGCCGCCGCCGUAAUAC